AGUCGUAUCCGAAUCCCAGCGACCCCAUGGACUGCAGCCUACCAGGCUCCUCCAUCCAUGGGAUUUUCCAGGCAAGAGUACUGGAGUGGGGUGCCAUUGCCUUCUCAGGAAGUCAAUGAUGGCACUUUGAGUACCCUUCCAUAUGUUAAUUCGGUCCCUGUAUCAAGACCCAUCAAAAGAACCUUUUGAGAAGGAGUCCCUCUUUUGCCGGUGGACAUUUUCAUGUCUAUCUGUGAUGCCUGGAGCAGUGUCAGCCAUCCUGAAACCAUGAAGAUUGGAAUUAGCCAGAGGAGAACACACUGCAUGUAGCAAGAUGGAAGGAUAGAAGGAGCAUGGAUCUUGAUGACAGCACUUAGCC
ensembl:lncRNA